GCCGACGUAGCUCAGCCGGUAGAGCAGCUGAUUCGUAAUCAGCAGGUCGUGGGUUCGAGUCCCAUCGUCGGCUCCA
rnacentral:tRNA from 1 species